UUGGCCCUGAAUCAAGGCUGCUUCCUGAUGCUGUUGGUUUCAAGCAGGAGCCUAAAGAGAUGUCUUUCUAUGGUCUGUUGGCCAUUUCAGAACUUGGGCAGUAAAAUAGUCAAUUCAUUAGAAAGACACAGCC
ensembl:snoRNA